rnacentral:rRNA from 1 species
UACGUAGGGGCUAGCGUUGUCCGGAUUUACUGGGCGUAAAGGCGCGUAGGCGGUCAGCACAAGUCAGUUGUGAAAUCUCCGGGCUUAACUCGGAAAGGUCAACUGAUACUGUGCGACUAGAGUGCAGAAGGGGCAACUGGAAUUCUCGGUGUAGCGGUGAAAUGCGUAGAUAUCGAGAGGAACACCUGCGGCGAAGGCGGGUUGCUGGGCUGACACUGACGCUGAUGCGCGAAAGCCAGGGGAGCGAACGGG